AUUUUAGAUUUGGGGGAUAUAUGUGCAGGUUUGUUAUAAGGCUAUACUGCAGGAUGCUGGGAUUUGGGGUACAAUCAAACCCAUCACCCACAUAGCAUAGUGGGAAGGCUUUUCUAAUCAGGAUGGAAAACCCAGAGUCAUACAGGAAAAGACUAAUACAUUCAACCACAUAAAAAAAUUUUAAACUUCUGUAUGGAAAACCACCAUAGAAAUGUUUUUCCAAUAACUGAGGAAAAUAUGAUAUGGGGAUAUUUCCUUAAUUUGCAAAGAAACUCAUACUAAUUAAUAUGAAAAAACAAUUAUUUUAAUUGCUAAUACUUAAUGAUCAUUUACUAUAUGCUAGACACUAUUUUAAGUAUAUGGAUUAUUUCAUUUAAUUCUCACAGUAAGUAACCCUAUAAGGUAAGUGCUAUUAUUACUAUCUCCAUUUUAUAGAUGAGAACACUGAAGCAGUUUUUUCUAAAGAUAGCUGCCUGGCACAGUGGCUCACAUCUGUAGUCCCAGCAUUUGGGGAGGCCAAGGCAGGUGGAUCACUUGAGGCCAGGAAUUCAAGACCAGCAUGGCCAACAUGGUAAAACCCCAUCCCUACUAAAAAUACAAAAAUUAGCUGGGCGUGGUGGCACCUGUAAUCCCAACUACUCAGGAGGCUGAGGCAGGAGAAUUGCUUGAACCCAGAGGCGGAGGUUGCAGUGAGCCAAGAUCACGCCACUGCACUCCAGCCUGGGCAACAGAGCAAGACUCCGUCUUGGGGAAAAAAAUGCAAAAAUUAGCCAGGCAUGAUAGUGGGCACAUGUAAUCCCAGCUACUUGGGAGGCUGAGGCAGGAGAAUCGCUUGAACCUGGGAGGCAUAGGUUGCAGUGAGCCAAGAUUGCGAUUGCACCACUGCACUCCAGCCUGAGUGACAGAGCAAGACUCCAUCUCAAAAAAAAAAAAAAAGCCAAAGAAUAUAUAUUAGGUUGGUGCAAAAGUAAUUGCAGUUUUUGCCAAUACAAGUAGUUUACAGAAAGAGAAAUAUCAGUGGCCCAUAAACAUGUAGAAAGAUGUUUAAUAGCACUCAUAAUUCAAGAAAUGCAAAAUAAAACUAAAAUUAAACAUCACUUUUUCACCUUUCUGCUUGGCAAAAAUGAAAACAUUUGCCAAUACUCAGGGAUGGUGAGAAAAACUACUUAUAUAACUUAUAUAACUGUUCCUCUGUAGAUUCUGAGUUCUAUCCUAGUAACAGUUCAUGUCACCAAAAAACUACACAUUAGAACCACCUUAGCUUAGCUGCCCAGGAAAAAUGCCUUCAGCCAAGUUCCAUUUUAAUGUUAUACGCUUGGCAUCUCUUGAUGGUUGGCAGAAGAAAUGACCACAUGAAAAGCUGCAUUUUUUUGUCCUGGAAAAACCACCACUAAAGGCAUUGUAAUCUACAUUGAGUAUAUAAGGAAGGGCCCACACAAUAAAUUAUCUGCAGUAUUUACUACCAGGAAAGAUUUACUUUCUCCUGAAGACCUGAUGUGUUAUUUUGCCAUACGAUGGUAAUCAUAUAAACCUCUGUUUCUCGUUUCUCCUUGGCUGCUAAGAAGCUCAAAAAUCACAUCUGAUGAUCCACUCUAGUGACAACAUAGCCAGGGCGAUUGGCAUCUGACUUCUCAACCCAACCUGACCUCAUAUUAGCUUUUUUCUUUUGUCUCCUCUCCCCUUCCAUUAGUUUCUCUUCUUCCACUUGCUGUUUAGUUUUCUAAUUCUAGCUUAACAAAAUUAUUAUAAAUGUGUGUUUUUGGAAGCUAUUUCAAAAUCUUUUGGAAGUAGAUAGGAUAUGUUACAAAUAGUCAAACUCCCUUAGUUUAUAGAUGAGAAAACUCAAGUUCUUUAGAAGUUAAAUGACUUAUUCCAGUGUUAAUCAGCUUAUAUCUGUGUGCACAUGUGACUCUCACUUUAUUGUAAGUGUCUUAGAAUUAUAUUUAUCUCUGAGACUCUGGUGGCCAGCUUUGAGCCAAGUACAUGGUAAAUUGUCAAUGUAUAUAUAUUGGUUGAAAAAAUUCUAAGUGCUGUGAGGAAAGGGACAUUUUUGCAGGGGAUAAGGUCGUAGUAGGUGCUCAUGAGAACUGAAUUCACAACAGGGCGUGGCCUCAGCCUCUGGCCUCACCCCACCACACCCUAGCAUCUCCACCACCCAGGAGUCUCAGGGCUGGGCUUCAUGCAACCCAUCUGCCCUACACCUGCCCGCACUCUGCCUUUGUCUCCACUAUUCCACUUUGGCCCUCUUGCCUUGUCCAGUGAGUUUCCAAAUAUUUCUCUUUUUUUUUGAGACGGAGUCUUGCUCUGUCACCCAGGCUGGAGUGCAGUGUUGCGAUCUCGGCUCACUGCAAGUUCCACCUCCUGGGUUCAAGUGAUUCUCCUGCCUCAGCCUCCAGAGAAGCUGGGACUACAGGUGCCCGCCAUCAUGCCCGGCUAAUUUUUUUUGUAUUUUUAGUAGAGACGGGGGUUUCACUGUGUUAACCAGGAUGGUCUCGAUCUCCUGACCUCGUGAUCUACCCGCCUCAGCCUCCGAAAGUGCUGGGAUUAGAGGUGUGAGCCACCGUACCCAGCUGAGUUUCCAAAUAUUUCUGAUUUCACCAGCGGGGGAAGACUGGCAGGCUCCUAUAUCCUCGAAGUAUCCUGCCAUGAGAUGCCUGCAGAGUGGGGAAUGGCAUCACCUUUCCAACCCUGUGCAGCACCCAGUGCGAGCUGCUUAUUAGUGGGAACUGGAGAGGAAGAGGAGGAAAAGGAGGACCCAUGGCCAUGGCUUUUUCUGUCCUUGUAACCCUCAACUGAUAUGUAUCCCAUACUUCUUGGUUGGGCAGAGGGGAGAGCAGAGGUUGACAGGUCACAUUUCCCUCAGUUUUCCAUCCUUCCUUCAGUGCUGGGAGAGAAAAGCAUACGACAUAGACAGGGAGGUCAAGCUCCACCACGCAGAUGAGGUGCAGGCCACCAGUCUUCCUCUGCCACAUCUCUUUCUGAAAAGGACUUCACAUUCACCCUUGCAAUCCAUGUGGGGACACUGUUGGAUAGGAGGCGUGGUCCCAGCGUGGUCUCCCUGUCUGGGCCUCUGCCUAUGCCAAAUGUUUGCCUUACGCUGCACACUCAAGAGGUUCCAUGUAUACAGAUGGGAAUUCCAGAGCUACAGAAAAGGCAGCAAGCACCAUGAUUUAAGCUAACCAGUGUGGAUUCACACCUUCCUCUCUCUCUAUCAGUGGCAGAACUACCAGCUAGAGUAAGAAGUGGUUGAUCCAGGACCUAAACAUUCUGGAAACUCUUGCCCACUUCUGGGAGAAAUGACCCAAUCCAUAGUACUAAGCACACCUUAACUUUCGUAGGACGCAGGCAAGUUGUCAUACCGUGUGCCUAAAUAUAGAAAAAUGAUCCACUGGAC
rnacentral:lncRNA from 1 species